rnacentral:rRNA from 1 species
UACAGAGGGUGCAAACGUUGCUCGGAAUCAUUGGGCGUAAAGCGCACGUAGGCGGCCUAGCAAGUAGGGAGUGAAAGCCCUCGGCUUAACCGAGGAAGUGCUUUCUAAACUACUAGGCUUGAAUACUGGAGAGGGUCGCGGAAUUCCCGGUGUAGAGGUGAAAUUCGUAGAUAUUCGGAAGAACACCAGUGGCGAAGGCGACUCACUGGACACAUAUUGACGCUGAGGUGCGAAAGCGUGGGGAGCAAACAGG